GAGAAUGCCGGUGUGAGUAGCGAAAGACGGGUGAGAAUCCCGUCCACCGAUUGACUAAGGUUUCCAGAGGAAGGCUCGUCCGCUCUGGGUUAGUCGGGUCCUAAGCUGAGGCCGACAGGCGUAGGCGAUGGAUAACAGGUUGAUAUUCCUGUACCACCUAUAAUCGUUUUAAUCGAUGGGGGGACGCAGUAGGAUAGGCGAAGCGUGCGAUUGGAUUGCACGUCUAAGCAGUAA
rnacentral:rRNA from 1 species